AUUUAUUUAUAAUUAUAAUCACGGUUUAAGACACGGUCUUAGAUUAAUAGAAUUCUAUCUUAAUUCGUGAUUAUAAUAUAUGACUGAUUUUUAUAUGUUUCUCUUGAAAAAUAAAAAUCAUAGGGUCAAACUAGAUGGGCUUGUUUGACCAUCACGUAUUCUUCCUUAUGAGAAACAGUCUCAUAGAACAAAUUUUUAGCUAUGCCCAACAGUCACAGUGCCGUAAAUAGACUACUCGAGGCUUGUGUGCAAAUCAAAAUCUAGAGGACCUGUGUGGCCGCAUUAUAAUCUCUUUUUGAAGCCCUCCAACAUAGUAUGAGGUCUGUGGCUUGUGUGCGGUGCACACUCUGCACAUUAUUUUUUAAUUGGAACAUAAUACCUAAUAAAAUGGAUAUUGAAGCAUAAAUAAAUAA